AUGGGCGCCUUCGAUCGCGUGAAAGCUCAAGUUGCAUCCGACUCAAAAUGGACAUCAGCUCCUUACAAGGGAUUUGUGGCCGGAAGCCCAUCAAACACGUAUAUUGAUAUUGUUUCCACUGCGUGAGUUUUCAACAUGCAACCUAUCCUGAAGCUUUUUAAAAUUAAUUCUUUGAAGACGCCACUAACACGAUGAAUUUUGCUCGUCACUCGAAAUACGAUGAAAUGUAUUCUCCUUAUCUCGGAUCAUUCCGCGAACGACACAAUUAUACUUCAAUUGCUCCAAGCUUGUGUAUUAACAAAACAAACCGUGCCAUCGAGUAUGACCUGGCACCACACAAGGCUUACAAUCCACGACAAUCCGAAUGGCUUCUUGAAAAAGACAAGAAAUAUAGAGUUCGUGGUGCUCGUAAUUUAAUUUACACAAAAAGCGCAUCGGAUAUCAGUUUGCCUCCACUGACACGUCGCACAUUCACAGUUCCAACAGAUACUCUUCGUCAUCAGAAUCAAUUUCUCUACUGGAAUGGUCGUGCACUUGGUCUUGACUAUGUUGCUCCAUUCCUUCGUCGUGAAGAUUAUUCUCGUCACGAGGAUCGCCGUUAUCAGAGAAUUUACUGGUCUCCACAUUUCAUUGAUUUGCUUCCAUCUUGCCGUCAUUCUGCACAUCUUAUGCUUUCCGCUUAUUAA
rnacentral:misc_RNA from 1 species